rnacentral:tRNA from 1 species
AUGGCCAAGCGGUAAGGCAGGGGACUGCAAAUCCUUUAUCCCCAGUUCAAAUAUGGGU